rnacentral:rRNA from 1 species
UACGUAGGGCGCAAGCGUUGUCCGGAAUUAUUGGGCGUAAAGAGCUCGUAGGCGGUCUGUUACGUCCGCUGUGAAAACCCAGGGCUUAACCCUGGGCUUGCAGUGGAUACGGGCAGACUAGAGGCAGGUAGGGGAGAAUGGAAUUCCCGGUGUAGCGGUGAAAUGCGCAGAUAUCGGGAGGAACACCGGUGGCGAAGGCGGUUCUCUGGGCCUGACCUGACGCUGAGGAGCGAAAGCGUGGGGAGCGAGCAGG